GACGAACGCUGGCGGCGUGCCUAAUACAUGCAAGUCGAGCGCAGGAAACUGACGGAACUCUUCGGAGGGAAGGCAGUGGAAUGAGCGGCGGACGGGUGAGUAACACGUAAGGAACCUGCCUCAAGGAUUGGGAUAACUCCGAGAAAUCGGAGCUAAUACCGGAUAGUUCAACGGACCGCAUGGUCCGCUGAUGAAAGGCGCUCCGGCGUCACCUUGAGAUGGCCUUGCGGUGCAUUAGCUAGUUGGUGGGGUAACGGCGCACCAAGGCGACGAUGCAUAGCCGACCUGAGAGGGUGAUCGGCCACACUGGGACUGAGACACGGCCCAGACUCCUACGGGAGGCAGCAGUAGGGAAUCUUCCACAAUGGACGAAAGUCUGAUGGAGCAACGCCGCGUGAGUGAUGAAGGUUUUCGGAUCGUAAAACUCUGUUCUAAGGGAAGAACACGUACGAGAGGAAAUGCUCGUACCUUGACGGUACCUUACGAGAAAGCCACGGCUAACUACGUGCCAGCCGCCGCCGUAACAC
rnacentral:rRNA from 1 species